AAGUAUCAACUCUAAUUGAUCAAAUGUGAAUCAAGUCAUCAUCAAUAAAUUCAAACAGAAAAGAAAUAAGGAUUACAAAUCAACAAGUCAACAAUAUUUUUUUGUAUUUUUUUGAAUUAAAAUAAAAUGCAAAUAAAAAAAUAAAAAAAUAAAAAAAUAAGGUCAAACCUCAAAUUCAAUUCAAAUCAACUUCAACAAGUCCAAAU
rnacentral:lncRNA from 1 species